UACGAAGGGGCUAGCGUUGCUCGGAAUCACUGGGCGUAAAGGCGCGUAGGCGGCCUGUUAAGUCGAACGUGAAAUCCCCGGGCUCAACCCGGGAACUGCGUCCGAUACUGGCAGGCUUGAAUCCGGGAGAGGGAUGCGGAAUUCCAGGUGUAGCGGUGAAAUGCGUAGAUAUCUGGAGGAACACCGGUGGCGAAGGCGGCAUCCUGGACCGGCAUUGACGCUGAGGCGCGAAAGCCAGGGGA
rnacentral:rRNA from 1 species